CAUCAUGAUAUUUAGUAGGGGGUGGGUGGUAUCCACCGAAUACCAAGGGUUGAAAAUUCGGAAAAUUCUCAGACAAUUUCCCCUUUGUUAUAUCUCUCAAGUCUUCUCUAGUCUCAACCCUCUCUCUUUACACAAAAAAGAAAAAAACACAAAAAUAUCUUUUGUUCAGAUCCUUUCGAUCUUCUCGAUUCACCAUGGCAAGUCUUUACUUUUUUUCUGAUUUCUGUUAUUUUUUAUUUUAUUUUAUUUUUGCUAUUUUGUAAUAGUAAUUCAACGAAUUACGAGAAGAAUUUUGAUUUUAUCUACUGAUGGAAGUGUUAUUUUAUUUUGUGCUGAUCUGUUUUGGCUUUUUGAUCUGAGUAUUUAUGUGCUGUGCGUGGCGAAAACCCUAGGUUCUGGUUUAGUUAAUGGAUGAUGGAUCGGAUUUGCUGUAAUUUGGAUUUUAAUGUUUUAGUUAUGGUUGAAUUUAUCCAUGGGAUUUGUGGUUGUCUUACUGGUUUGAUCCAUGACUAUUUGAUUGUUGAGUUUCUUUUUGUGUGAAUAUUUAUUCAGAUUGUUUAGGAUGUUGGCACAGGCGGAUCCAAGAUUUGAUCUAAUUUUUAUGCCAAUUUAGUGGAUUUUUUUCACGUAUAUAUAAAGUUUGAACCAAAGCUGUUGAGUUGGACUAACCCAUAACUAAUGCACUAGGUCCGCUUCUGGAUGUAGGAGCACAACUGACACCAUUGUGUGUGUGUGUGUGGAGUUCAAAAUUUUUCAAAAAAGUGUUUGUGGAAUUGAAUUUUUUCAAAAAUAUAGAUGUUUACUAGGUUGAAAUUCAUUUCCUCGAAAAGGUUGUGGGUGUAGUGUUACUAGGCAACUAAUUUUUAAUCCUAAAGCUGCUUGUUGUACUUGGGUAUUAGAGGGUUAUUCUAUUAUCCACAUUUGCUUUUAAUGCCCUUGAAAUUUGAAAUAUUCAAAAUCCAUUGCCUCAGAGAAUAGUAAAGUUUAUUAUCAUACAUAUUUUUCUCGUUUAGGAGAUGAAUAAGUCCAUUUAUUUGCUUCUAUAAUUCUACAUUCUUUGCACUUAUUAUACGUUCUCAGAUUUUGAUAAAUAGAUACUUAAACUCUUUCAUGAGUUGGACUUAAACCGGUAUCUCUGGGAGCAAAAGAUAGGCCCGGAGAAACACCUUUCAUUUUGAUCGUGACAAAAAAAGAAAGAAUUGAGGGAACUUGCAGUUGGCGUGUAGGUGACAGAUUACUUGCUUACCAUAUUGUGGGUACAAUCUUAGUCUGUUACUAACUUAAAUUCCUAGAGCUGCCUCUGGUUAUACUUGGGUAACUUAGAGGUUUUUCUAAUUAGCACAUUUACUUUAGCUAGCUUGAAUUUUUAAAUGAUUUUUGCAUAUGUACUUAGUUUGUCUGUGUGUUCAAUUGCUCGGCAUUUUCCAGAGAAUUUGGGACGUUCUAUUUGGGUUUCCAACAAGAAAAAUACUAGUAAGAUAAUUAUAAUUGGAAAAUUGUGUCUUAUACAAGACAAUAGGCAAAGGUAGAGAGUGGAAUGUUCUCUUGGUGCAGCCAUGGAAGGUUGAUGUGUUUAUAGUUUUGUGAUUAAGAUCAAGAAAAUGUGUUUUUGUUAAGCAGGGAAUUAUUUGCAGAAGUUGAAUCAAUGCUUUGGUUCGUGAUUCAAUUGGCCUGUUUUGUAUUGUAAAACCAGGAUACAAACUGUGUAUCUUGUUCACAGUAUUUUUUAGCAAAGUUGUGUUUGACUGUCAUCUCAGAGUGGGUAAAAAGGAGUCCUUCAUCUUCAAUUUUGGUUGAAGUGUGGUAUCCAACUUGAAGAACAGCUAGUUAAAUUUGCUUGUGCUCACCAUCCGUCCCACUAAAUUGUGAACUGCUCCUAAGAAAUAACGGAUUUCAUUGUAGCUGCUAAGUGAUUUUAGUUACGAACCAGAUGAUUUUGCAGCAACCUGAGAUAAUAGUCCAUUCUAUUAUAUCCCCCAGACAUUAUGACUUCUUUAUUCCAAAAUUGAAAAGUUGUUCCUGUUCAUUUUCAAGAAAGAAAAAACUUCACGGCUUUGAUGUCUUACAUUAGCUAGUGCAUAUGCAUUUAUCGGAUAUGCGUAGAAAUAAAAGCUGUAUUUCCUGUUCAUUUAAAACAUUUUAAUUUAAAUCUGUUGUGCAUUUUUCUUUUUCGGUUUCCUCAUUUUUCUUUUUCAUUCUUUGGUGUCAAUAUCAUGAACAGAAUAGGUGUGAAUGUUAAUUAUAAAACGUGUUCUUUUAUAUUGGGUAAAUCAAUCAAUGCCAUUACUAAAUUAAUUGGGGCCAAAAUAUGAAUCCUUUAUAUCCAUUCGGCUUUGUUCAGGCCAUUUAGAAUUUAGAGGAUUCAUCAUAAAUGGCUUUGUUCAGGCCAUUUAGAAUUUAGAUGAUUUAUCAUAGACGACUAUCUUUAUACUGGUUGUCAAUCUAUCUUAUAUCCUGUUUGGCCAAGCUUCUAAAAUCAGCUUAUUAUGAGAAGUGCUUUUUCUUAAAAGAGCUUUUCUCAAAAGUACUUUUAGUGAGAAACAGUUUGUGUUUGGCUAAUUAAUUUGAAAAACAUUUCUGAGCAGUUGGCCAAGCAAUAAAAAAGUGCUAUUUUUCUCACAAGUGCUUCUGUAGAGAAACUGUUUUUUUCUGUUUCUCCAAAACUGCUUCUGUUUCUACUCAGAAGCACUUUUUUCCUUCUAAAAGCUUGGCCAAACACUUCGAACUUUGAAAAAAAAGUAUUUAAAAAGAAGAAGAAGUGCUUUUGGGGCUGGAGAAGCUUGGCCAAACAGGCUAUUAGACCACCCGUUAUGCUUUGACGUAGGUUGAGUCACAUGUAUUGGGUGUUUGUUUUAAUUUUUGUUUUUAUGUUUUAGUAUCUGUAGAAUUGACGUGCCUCUGGUUUGUUGUAUUAUUAUGAAGAAACUCAUCAAUUGAUUGACCUCGGAUUUUCUUUGUAGGCUAACUCUGCAUCGGGCAUGGCUGUGCACGACGAUUGCAAACUGAAAUUUUUGGAGUUGAAAACUAAAAGGGCUUAUCGCUUCAUUGUAUUCAAGAUUGAGGAAAAGCAAAAGCAAGUCAUUGUGGAAAAGCUUG
rnacentral:lncRNA from 1 species